rnacentral:lncRNA from 1 species
UGCCCCAUGAGACACCCCAGGCCCCCAGAGAUGCCGUCUGUGCUACAGCUGCAGGGCAUCUGUGCCCACACAGGGAUGGACACAGGAGGUGCUCAGGUAGCACUAGUGAGUGUCCAGAGGGUCCCAGCCCUGGAGAAGUGCUCCUUGGAGGGACGCAGUGGCCAGGCAGCAGGGGCCGCACAAAGCCCCGGCCAGACAGUGGAGGCACAGGAGUGGCCUGGCCUCAGCUCAACCCAAGCUGAGCUCAGGCCCUUCCUGGCUAAGCCUGGGGAAUUCUUGGGGGGGGGGACCUUGGUGUCCCCUGGCCACAUAGUCACUGAGGCUGCCAUGUGGGGUAGGCACACCACCACAGGAAGCGCUGGCCCAGGGGCACCAGCAGUGGAAAUGCUGGAGCAAGGUGACAUGCUCGGCUGUAUGCUCAUGGACUUGCAGUGUGGCCCCUGGGCCCCCAGGCACGGCCAGGUGGCAUGACAGUGGCUGGGCUGUC